UACGGAGGGGGCUAGCGUUGUUCGGAAUUACUGGGCGUAAAGCGCACGUAGGCGGCUUUGUAAGUUAGAGGUGAAAGCCCGGAGCUCAACUCCGGAAUUGCCUUUAAGACUGCAUCGCUUGAAUCAUGGAGAGGUGAGUGGAAUUCCGAGUGUAGAGGUGAAAUUCGUAGAUAUUCGGAAGAACACCAGUGGCGAAGGCGACUCACUGGACAUGUAUUGACGCUGAGGCGCGAAAGCGUGGGGAGCAAACAGG
rnacentral:rRNA from 1 species